rnacentral:rRNA from 1 species
GUGGGGAAUAUUGCACAAUGGGGGAAACCCUGAUGCGGCGACGCCGCGUGAGUGAAGAAGUAUUUCGGUACGUAAAGCUCUAUCAGCAAGGAAGAAAAUGACGGUACUUGACUAAGAAGCCCCGGCUAACUACGUGCCAGCAGCCGCGGUAAUACGUAGGGGGCAAGCGUUAUCCGGAUUUACUGGGUGUAAAGGGAGCGUAGACGGUAUGGUAAGUCAGAUGUGAAAGCCCGGGGCUCAACCCCGGGACUGCAUUUGAAACUAUCAGACUAGAGUGCAGGAGAGGUAAGUGGAAUUCCUAGUGUAGCGGUGAAAUGCGUAGAUAUUAGGAGGAACACCAGUGGCGAAGGCGGCUUACUGGACUGUAACUGACGUUGAGGCUCGAAAGCGUGGGGAGCAAACAGGAUUAGAUACCCCGGUAGUCC